UACGAGGGGUGCAAGCGUUGCUCGGAAUCACUGGGCGUAAAGCGCACGUAGGCGGAUUGCUAAGUCAGGGGUGAAAUCCUGGAGCUCAACUCCAGAACUGCCUUUGAUACUGGCAACCUUGAGUCCGGGAGAGGUGAGUGGAACUGCGAGUGUAGAGGUGAAAUUCGUAGAUAUUCGCAAGAACACCAGUGGCGAAGGCGGCUCACUGGCCCGGUACUGACGCUGAGGUGCGAAAGCGUGGGGAGCGAACAGG
rnacentral:rRNA from 1 species